GACGAACCACACGAACGUUAUUCGGAAUUACUGGGCUUAAAGGGUGCGUAGGCUGUGCGGAAAGUUAGGUGUGAAAUCCCACGGCUCAACCGUGGAAUUGCAUUUGAAACUGGAAGUCUUGAGUGUGGGAGAGAUUGGUAGAAUACCUGGUGUAGUGGUGAAAUACGUAGAUAUCAGGUGGAAUACCGGUGGCGAAGGCGGCCAAUUGGCCCAACACUGACGCUGAGAUACGAAAGCGUGGGGAUCAAACAGG
rnacentral:rRNA from 1 species